AAUAACACAAACCCCAGAAAAUGCCUCAUUUCUGUUCUUUUGAAAAUUCCAUUUCUCAGGACUUAACACUGAAGAUUAUGGGUCUCAACCUGAGUCACAUGAAGAGGUCACAGAUCUUACUCUGACAGGUGAAGAAAACCCCAGUUUGACCUCUACCAAUUUUACCUGUGUCUCCUCCCCAUCCAGGACUCCACUCGGCGAUGAGGCAUUUCAUCCAUCCCAGCAAAAUGUUUCGCUUCUUGGAACCCAGAAGCCUCUAUUUCCGUGGAGCAGUAAACGGAGGAGAAUGGAGGAGCACCCAGGAGGACUUAACACCGAAGAAGAUGGGUCUCAGCCUGAGUCACAUGAGGAGGGCACACAACUUACUCUGACACCUGAAGAAAAACCUUCUUCUUCCACCAAUUUCACCUGUGUCUUCUCCACAUCCAGGACUCCACUCGGCGAUGAGGCAUUCCAUCCAUUCCAGCAAAAUGUUUCACCUCUUGGAACCCAGAAGCCUGUAUC